CCUACGGGUGGCAGCAGUGAGGAAUAUUGGUCAAUGGACGAGAGUCUGAACCAGCCAAGUAGCGUGAAGGAUGACUGCCCUAUGGGUUGUAAACUUCUUUUAUAUGGGAAUAAAAUGUUCCACGUGUGGGUGUUUGUAUGUACCAUAUGAAUAAGGAUCGGCUAACUACGUGCCAGCAGCCGCGGUAAUACGGAGGAUCCGAGCGUUAUCCGGAUGUAUUGGGGUUAAAGGGAGCGUAGGUGGAUUGUUAAGUCAGUGGUGAAAGUUUGCGGUUCAACCGUGAAAUUGCAGUUGAAACUGGCAGUCUUGAGUGCAGUAGAGGUGGGCGGAAGUCGUGGUGUAGCGGUGAAAUGCUUAGAUAUCACGAAGAACUCCGAUUGCGAAGGCAGUUCACUGGACUGCAACUGACACUGAGGCACGAAAGUGUGGGGAUCAAACAGGAUUAGAUACCCUAGUAGUC
rnacentral:rRNA from 1 species